AAGGGUGAGUCUUAGAAUAAGACGAAUAACCUGCGCUCAGGUUCGAGCCGAGCGAAGCGAGACAGCAACGCGUUAGCGUUGACCCCGAAGGGGCGAGGCCGAAGGCCGAGUCAUCCUGCACGACCCACCA
rnacentral:sRNA from 1 species